AUGAUGAUGACAUCAAUGGAAUGCGAUUAUUAUAUGCCCAGAAACUGCUUCACCUCCAAAAUGCAGUGACAUCGAUUCACUUUGUAGCUAUUUUGCAUCUGAAGGAUAUUGCACAGAAUACGAAGAUGUGAUGAAAAUUACAUGUCCAUACAGCUGUAACUUAUGUGAUAGUUAACUUCGUUGAUAAAGCUUAGAUAUAUAUUUACUUAAUAAUAAUAUAGUCACGUGACUCAAGAGUCACAUGACUCCAAAGUCACAUGACUCCAAAGUCACAUUGUUCCAAUAUUUGAUAUUGUAAUAGCACAUAGCUAUAGUCAGUGUUACCAGAUUUGUAAAUUAAAUUUCUUUUGUAAACUUUAGCAACUUUUUAUACAAUGAAAUUUCAUUUUAUUUUCACGAAAGCUUA